rnacentral:rRNA from 1 species
UCUGGUUGAUCCUGCCAGUAGUCAUAUGCUUGUCUCAAAGAUUAAGCCAUGCAUGUCUAAGUACGGCUCUAGUACGGUGAAACUGCGAAUGGCUCAUUAAAUCAGUUUUGGUUCAUUUGAUCGUAAAAGUUUACAUGGAUAACUGUUGUAAUUCAAGAGCUAAUACAUGCUAAGAGCGUUGCUUUUUAAGUGGCGUGCUUUUAUCAGAACAAAACCAAUCACCUUCGGGUGUUCCAAUGUGGCGAGUCUGGAUAAUUUAGCUGAUCGCAUGGUCUUAGAACCGGCGAUGGAUCAUUCAAGUGUCUGACCUAUCAACUGUCGAUGGUAGCGUAUUGGUCUACCAUGGUUGUAACGGGUAACGGAGAAUUAGGGUUUGGUUCCGGAGAGGGAGCCUGAGAAACGGCUACCACAUCUAAGGAAGGCAGCAGGCGCGCAAAUUACCCAUUCCCGACUCGGGGAGGUAGUGACGAAAAAUAACAAUUCAAGACUCUAAACGAGGCCUUGAAGUUGGAAUGAGUACACUUUAAAAUUUUUAACGAGUAUCUAUUGGAGGGCAAGUCUGGUGCCAGCAGCCGCGGUAAUUCCAGCUCCAAUAGCGUAUACUAAAGUUGUUGCGGUUAAAAAGCUCGUAGUUGGAUCUUGGAGCGUGUUCUUGCGGUCAUACUUAUUGUUUGUACUGCUUGACGCGUUCUUCUAUUUGGUUGCGUGUGCAAGUUCUCUUAGUUGAGUGCUGUACUCGACCGAAACGUUUACCUUGAAAAAAUUAGAGUGUUCAAAGCAGACCUGUUUGUGUCUGAAUAUUCGUGCAUGGAAUAAUGAAAUAUGAAUUCGGUUCUAUUUUGUUGGUUUUCGGAACUCGAGUUAAUGAUUAAGAGGGACAGACGGGGGUAUUAGUACUCUGCCGUUAGAGGUGAAAUUCUUGGAUCGGCGGAAGACUCGCAACUGCGAAAGCAUUUGCCAAGAAUGUUUUCUUUAAUCAAGAACGAUAGUCGGAGGUUCGAAGACGAUCAGAUACCGUCCUAGUUUCGACUGUAAACUAUGCCAGCUAACGAUCAGACAGCGUUCUCUACGACUUGUCUGGCAGUUUCCGGGAAACCAAAGCUUUUGGGUUCCGGGGGAAGUAUGGUUGCAAAGCUGAAACUUAAAGGAAUUGACGGAAGG